rnacentral:rRNA from 1 species
GGGUUGUGAGGUUAAGCGACUAAGCGUACACGGUGGAUGCCCUGGCAGUCAGAGGCGAUGAAGGGCGUGCUAAUCUGCGAUAAGCGCCGGUAAGGUGAUAUGAACCGUUAUAACCGGCGAUACCCGAAUGGGGAAACCCAGUGUGACUCGUCACACUAUCAUUAACUGAAUCCAUAGGUUAAUGAGGCGAACCGGGGGAACUGAAACAUCUAAGUACCCCGAGGAAAAGAAAUCAACCGAGAUUCCCCCAGUAGCGGCGAGCGAACGGGGAGGAGCCCAGAGCCUGAAUCAGCAUGUGUGUUAGUGGAAGCGUCUGGAAAGGCGCGCGAUACAGGGUGACAGCCCCGUACACAAAAGCGCAUGUGCUGUGAGCUCGAUGAGUAGGGCGGGACACGUGGUAUCCUGUCUGAAUAUGGGGGGACCAUCCUCCAAGGCUAAAUACUCCUGACUGACCGAUAGUGAACCAGUACCGUGAGGGAAAGGCGAAAAGAACCCCGGCGAGGGGAGUGAAAAAGAACCUGAAACCGUGUACGUACAAGCAGUGGGAGCACAGGUUUACCUGUGUGACUGCGUACCUUUUGUAUAAUGGGUCAGCGACUUAUAUUCUGUAGCAAGGUUAACCGAAUAGGGGAGCCGGAGGGAAACCGAGUCUUAAUUGGGCGUUAAGUUGCAGGGUAUAGACCCGAAACCCGGUGAUCUAGCCAUGGGCAGGUUGAAGGUUGGGUAACACUAACUGGAGGACCGAACCGACUAAUGUUGAAAAAUUAGCGGAUGACCUGUGGCUGGGGGUGAAAGGCCAAUCAAACCGGGAGAUAGCUGGUUCUCCCCGAAAGCUAUUUAGGUAGCGCCUCGUGAAUUCAUCUCCGGGGGUAGAGCACUGUUUCGGCUAGGGGGCCAUCCCGGCUUACCAACCCGAUGCAAACUGCGAAUACCGGAGAAUGUUAUCACGGGAGACACACGGCGGGUGCUAACGUCCGUCGUGAAGAGGGAAACAACCCAGACCGCCAGCUAAGGUCCCAAAGUCAUGGUUAAGUGGGAAACGAUGUGGGAAGGCCCAGACAGCCAGGAUGUUGGCUUAGAAGCAGCCAUCAUUUAAAGAAAGCGUAAUAGCUCACUGGUCGAGUCGGCCUGCGCGGAAGAUGUAACGGGGCUAAACCAUGCACCGAAGCUGCGGCAGCGACACUGUGUGUUGUUGGGUAGGGGAGCGUUCUGUAAGCCUGUGAAGGUGGCCUGUGAGGGUUGCUGGAGGUAUCAGAAGUGCGAAUGCUGACAUAAGUAACGAUAAAGCGGGUGAAAAGCCCGCUCGCCGGAAGACCAAGGGUUCCUGUCCAACGUUAAUCGGGGCAGGGUGAGUCGACCCCUAAGGCGAGGCCGAAAGGCGUAGUCGAUGGGAAACAGGUUAAUAUUCCUGUACUUGGUGUUACUGCGAAGGGGGGACGGAGAAGGCUAUGUUGGCCGGGCGACGGUUGUCCCGGUUUAAGCGUGUAGG